GCGGGAAUGGCGGAAUUGGCAGACGCGCACGGUUCAGGUCCGUGUGCUGGUAACAGCAUGCAGGUUCAAGUCCUGUUUCCCGCACCA
rnacentral:tRNA from 1 species